AGCGAACAAGGGUUUAGGUCUUGUUCAGGACGUCAUGGGACAGCACACACAGAAGAAAUGUAACUAGAAGCUCUGAAUGUAGCAGUAGGCUCUAUAAAAACAGCAUGGUAUUCUGCGAGUACAUCUGCAAGUUCAAAUCUCUACAUAAAACCAAGGCAUCAUAUAUGCCAAAGUGCAUUAUCUCAAGGUACCAAAUAUAUUCAUAGUAUGUACUCAAUUAAAUGUAUCCCAUUAAAGAUAUUUCAAGGUGACAAUGUUAACGAUAACUACAUUUAGUUCUUUAUUUUGGUGCCUAUCACAAAGAUAACUAAUGAAACUAUAAAUGUUUCUAUAUUUAAUAUGGAUUAAAGCUAUAGGCCUUCAAAAGUUAGUGUCAUAUAUGUAAAAUAUCUUAAACUACCAGUGAUCAAUUCUGAAAAGUUAGGCUAGAAUGAAAAAUGUACCUUUCAAAUGCAAUGAAAAGGUAAUCUGUUUGGGUCACCACAUUGAAAAAUAAUGUUACCAAUUCUGACAGCUUUUCUCACUGCUUUGUCAGCUAUGUAUGAGCUGCUCAGAGUGCUGCCAAAAAGGCUGUUUGUAUAUAUUACAGUGUUUGGGUUACUGAUGUAAAUUAAGCAUAUCUCUUGCUGAAAAAUCAGUCACUUGGAUCAUAUGGUAGAAUGAGUCCUUGAUUUACUUGUCAGUCUGUUUUACAGGUCCAGAGAAAUAUCCUCAAAGGAAUCUUUCCAGUGAAGAAAACUGACUGACGUUAUCAGCAAGGCUGGACCUUUCAUCGUACACAAGUGAGUUACAGGACAAAAUAUCAAUCAACUUCAGUCAAAUCUCCAAGUGGUUUCUUUUGCACAGAUGCAGUCACUAAUGUGCUUUAAGAUUGAAGCCCUGGGAUGUUGUCCCAUCAGACCAGACCUGACGUCAGUAUUGGAUCGUGCACUAAUGACUGGUACUUCAGUUACAUUAGCCACACACAGAAAAUGUCUGCAAAUGGCAAAAGCAACAUCUGAAAACUUGUUCAAAGUAUCAACCAUAA